rnacentral:rRNA from 1 species
AGUGAACGCUGGCGGUAGGCCUAACACAUGCAAGUCGAACGGCAGCACAGUAAGAGCUUGCUCUUACGGGUGGCGAGUGGCGGACGGGUGAGGAAUACAUCGGAAUCUACUUUUUCGUGGGGGAUUACGUAGGGAAACUUACGCUAAUACCGCAUACGACCUUCGGGUGCAAGCAGGGGAUCUUCGGAUCUUGCGCGAUUGAAUGAGCCGAUGUCGGAUUAGCUAGUUGGCGGGGUAAAGGCCCACCAAGGCGACGAUCCGUAGCGGGUCUGAGAGGAUGAACCGCCACACUGGAAGUGAGACACGGUCGAGACUCCUGCGCGGAGCAGCAGUCGGGAAUAUUGCGCGAUGGAGGAGAGCCUGAUACAGCAAUACCGCGUGAGUGAAGAAGGACUUCGGGUGGGAAAGCCCUGUUGUUGGGAGAGAAAAACAGCAGGUUAAUACCCGGCUGUUCUGACGGUACCCAAAGAAUAAGCACCGGCUAACUUCGUG